GACGAACGCUGGCGGCGUGCUUAACACAUGCAAGUCGAACGAUGAAGUUCCUUCGGGAAUGGAUUAGUGGCGAACGGGUGAGAAACACGUGAGAAACCUGCCUUUCAUUUUGGGAUAACUCCGGGAAACCGGAGCUAACACCGAAUACUCCGUCUCGGCGGCAUCGCUGAGCCGGGAAAAAAUUUUGAUGAAAGAUGGUCUCGCGGCCUAUCAGCAAGGUGGUGAGGUAAUGGCUCACCAAGGGGGCCGCGGGUAGCCGGCCUGAGAGGGCGAGCGGCCACACGGGGACCGGGGCACGGGCCAGGCUCCUACGGGAGGCGGCAGUGGGGAAUAUCGGGCAAUGGGCGCAAGCCUGACCCAGCGACGCCGCGUGAGGGAUGAAGGCCUUCGGGUUGUAAACCUCUUUCAGUAGGGAAGAAGCGAAAGUGACGGUACCUAAAGAAGAAGCACCGGCUAACUAUGUGCCAGCAGCCGCGGUAA
rnacentral:rRNA from 1 species